rnacentral:rRNA from 1 species
UAAGCGGAGGAAAAGAAACUANCAAGGAUUCCCCUAGUAACUGCGAGUGAAGCGGGAAAAGCUCAAAUUUAAAAUCUGGUGGUCUUUGGCCAUCCGAGUUGUAAUUUAGAGAAGCGUCUUCCGCGCUGGACCGUGCACAAGUCUCCUGGAAUGGAGCGUCAUAGAGGGUGAGAAUCCCGUCUUUGGCAUGGACACACCAGGGCUUUUGUGAUGCGCUCUCGAAGAGUCGAGUUGUUUGGGAAUGCAGCUCAAAAUGGGUGGUGAACUCCAUCUAAAGCUAAAUAUUGGCGAGAGACCGAUAGCGAACAAGUACCGUGAGGGAAAGAUGAAAAGCACUUUGGAAAGAGAGUUAAACAGUACGUGAAAUUGCUGAAAGGGAAACGCUUGAAGUCAGUCACGUCUGCCAGGACUCAGCCUUGCUUCUGCUUGGUGUACUUUCUGGUUGGAUGGGCCAACAUCAAUUUUAACCGUUGGAGAAAGGCUUUGGGAAUGUGGCACCUUCGGGUGUGUUAUAGCCCUUUGUUGUAUACAAUGGUUGGGAUUGAGGACUGCAACAUGCCUUCAUGGCCGGGGUUCGCCCACGUACAUGCUUAGGAUGUUGGCAUAAUGGCUUUAAGCGACC